rnacentral:lncRNA from 11 species
CAGGUGCUUAGCAGGAAAACUGUCUCCCUGCCUGCCCAGCCCUACCUGUUUCCAAGGCUAUCGAGCGGUAGCGCAAACAUGCCUCUUUCACUCCUCUGGCCCGCCUUUGUAUCCUAUUACCAUACCUCCUCUGCCUCUUAGAUCUCUCACAUGCGCGUCUGUGCUGCUUCACUGCAGUCCUCAGGAGCGAGAUCUGAGAGACAGAGAAGGGGGUAUGAUAAUAGAAUACAGAGGCAGGCCAGACAGAUGAAAGAGGCAUGUUUUUCUGGGUACAGUGCCGCUCUAUCUCUUUUUUCCAUACCCCGGGCAUCCCAGACACCUGCAGCUUGCUCUGCCCUUCACUUACACCUUUCCGAUGACGCGCCCCCUCACCUUGUCAUCAGGACUGCGUUAAGUCACUUCUUUCCACGAAUCCUGAUUUUGCUUUGCCUACAGUUACAUCUUAUGAAGGUUACAUGUGACCUGGCCAAGGUGAUAACAUGCCUUAGUUGCAUCUUCUCUGGAUUACUGUAACACACUCUACAUGAAAUUGUCUUUGAAGAGUGUUUGGAAGCUUGAGUCAGUCCAAAAAGCUGCAGACAGACUAUCAACUGGGGAACACACACAACUCUCUUGUUGCAACAGCUCCAUUGGCUGCCAGCCUGUUUCCAGGCACAGUUCAAAGUCCUUGUUAUGACCUAAAAACCCUACAUGGCAUUUUAAGUAUGUUUGUUUUAGAGACCCAAACUGGGGAAAAGAUGGGGACCAACAACAACAAAUACAUUGAAAAAUUGGACUUGAUUCACUAAAGGUUAGAGUUGACCCACAACAUUUAUCAAGUCUAGAGAAGGAAAUGGAAAAGCAUUUGAGGAGUAAGACUGGAAUAAUCUUAAAAUAAUGCUCUGAAGGAAAGGGAGAUAAUCUGAAUUUUGUAUUAGUUUGUGUUGGUAAAUGUGUAGCUUCAGACAUGCAAAGAACAAACCAAAAUUUGACAGAACUAAACACUGGAGGAGGCAUGAUUUUGUUUUGUUUUUUAAGCAGUGUUUUUCCACUACAGUUCCUACAACAGCAAAUCUAUUUCUGUAACAAUGACUAGAAGCUUUUCAGAAUUCGAUGGAUCAUUCUUUGUACAGCAUUGUUGAAGUGAUGUCCAUACUAAAGAUGUGAUAAUAUAGAGAUUUAUUCAUAUAAAGAGAUCAGAUUACUCAACACAAAUAUUUUCAAAACAUUUAUUUUUCAUCCUCCAGAGAACUUCAAAAACAGAAAAUAGGAGCUAGAAUUCAACAGUGUUAAAAUGCUCCUAAAAUUGUUGGUAUCUGUGAGUUUAAAGAUUUGAUCCUAAACAUAUGUCUUGUUUAAUUCAACUCAGCUUAAAGCUUAACUGCAAGGCAAUCCUCUAUAAAUUUGUCUUGAAAUAAGUUGCAUUAAUUCAAUAGUUUUAUCUUUAUGUAGAAAUGCAUAGGUUGUUAUGUGUCAUUGAUUUGAUUUUGAUUCUGGCAUUGCACCUCCAAAUGAGAAUUCUGUUGUCCCUCCGUGAGCGCCGAAAUUAAAUUUUCUUUCAGGUCCCCAAAUUUCUAGCACUGCACAGUGUGACACUGAAAGACAGUAUUUAACCUGAGUUGAUAUGCAAACAUAACACCUUAAUUAUGGUCGCACAAAAUAGAUUUUUGGAGAAAGAUCAUAUAACAGUCUUCCCCAUCACAAUGUCCUGUAGAUGUAUUGAGCUUGUGUUCCCAUUAUUCCACACAGUAUGGGAUUGAGGGAGAGAUGGUCCAACACAACUAGAUGGCACCAUGGUUGGGAAAGAAUGAUACCAGAGAAAGUCCAUGUUACUAAGGAUAAGGGCUGAGAAAUGCAUGUCAGGAUUUUAGUUAAUCAUUACAAGAUUUCUAUGCAAUAAAGAAUAUGUAUUUCAACAGCCCGCUGUGAAAUACAUUACAGCAUGUAUCCACUUUAAAUCCGGUUUCUGCCUCCUGCAGAAUUCUGAAGUUUGUGCUUUAGUGAAGCCCAGGACCUGCCUCUCCCUAAACUACAAACCCUAUAAUUCUGCAGGAGGCAGAAACUGGAUUUAAAGUGGAUCCAUGCUCUAGUGUGAUGAGGCCCUUAAAGUGUGUAGUAACUUGAGGAGCGAUCGUAUUCAGAGCUCCUGAUUCACAAAGAAAUGGCUAAAGGUGCUUAUUUUAAUGUGGGAUGGGAACUGUCAGAUUCCCACAUGUUAGAUCACUGUAGUGACAUCAAUACAUGGGCAUUCUUGCCAGCAGUCUCAAAAUGUGCCUUGAUGCUCCUUUUCUCGCUAUUAAUCCUCUUGCAUGAAACCUUUAUGGUAAUUAAAAAAUAAUUUAUUGUUCAGAAAUUGUGCAAUUUUGAUAUAUUACCAAUUUGCUGUAGGUAUAUUUUCCCUCUUUUUAGACCCUGAUUUUGGACUUCCGCAAUUCCAAGACUUUCCAUUUUUUUAAAUAAAAUGCAAGAAAGUGGCAUGGGUAGGGACUACACUUGCCUGUGUGACAGCUCAGAACCCAGAGGAUUGUUGUAGAAAUGGAC